CCUACGGGUGGCAGCAGUGAGGAAUAUUGGUCAAUGGCCGGAAGGCUGAACCAGCCAAGCCGCGUGAAGGACGAAGGUGCCAAGCAUUGUAAACUUCUUUUGUCAAGGGACAAAAUCAGGCUCGAGAGCCUGACCGAGGGUACUUGAAGAAAAAGCAUCGGCUAACUCCGUGCCAGCAGCCCCGGUAAUACGGAGGAUGCGAGGGUUAUCCGGCUUUAUUGGGGUUAAAGGGUGCGUGGGCGGGCUGUUAAGUCAGCGGUAAAAGCCCGGGGCUAAACCCCGGCGAGCAGUUGAAUCUGGCUGUCUUGAGAUGUCGAGGGGUAUGCGGAAUGCGCAGUGUAGCGGUGAAAUGCUUAGAUAUUGCGCAGAACGCCGAUUGCGAAGGCAGCAUACCGGCGGCGAUCUGACGCUGAGGCACGAAAGCGUGGGUAUCGAACAGGAUUAGAUACCCUUGUAGUC
rnacentral:rRNA from 1 species